rnacentral:rRNA from 1 species
CAAUAGCGUAUAUUUAAGUUGUUGCAGUUAAAAAGCUCGUAGUUGGAUUUCGGAUGGGAUUUGCCGGUCCGUCGUUACGAUGUGCACUGGCCAGUCCUAUCUUGUUGUCGGGGACUAGCUCCUUGGAUUCACUUCCUGGGACUAGGAGCUGACGAGGUUACUUUGAGUAAAUUAGAGUGUUCAAAGCAAGCCUACGCUCUGAAUACAUUAGCAUGGAAUAACACGAUAGGACUCUGGCUUAUCUUGUUGGUCUGUGAGACCAGAGUAAUGAUUAAGAGGGACAGUCGGGGACAUUCGUAUUUCAUUGUCAGAGGUGAAAUUCUUGGAUUUAUGAAAGACGAACUUAUGCGAAAGCAUUUGUCAAGGAUGUUUUCAUUAA